UUCCGGUUGAUCCUGCCGGAGGACAUUGCUAUUGGGAUUCGAUUUAGCCAUGCUAGUCGAACGAGUUUAGACUCGUGGCAGAUAGCUCAGUAACACGUGGCCAAGCUACCCUUCAGUCGGCAAUACCCUCGGGAAACUGAGGCUAAUGGCCGAUGUGGGACGCCUGCUGGAAUGCGGCGUUCUCUAAAGAUCACGCUGAAGGAUGCGGCUGCGGCCGAUUAGGUUGACGGUGGGGUAACGGCCCACCGUGCCAGUAAUCGGUACGGGUGAUGAGAGUCAGAGCCCGGAGACGGAAUCUGAGACAAGAUUCCGGGCCCUACGGGGCGCAGCAGGCGCGAAACCUCUACACUGCACGAAAGUGCGAUAGGGGAAUCCCAAGUGCGAGGGCAUAUUAGCCCUCGCUUUUGUCGACUCUAAGGUGGUCGACGAAUAAGAGCUGGGCAAGACCGGCGCCAGCCGCCGCGGUAAUACCGGCAGCUCGAGUGAUGUCCAAUAUUAUUGGGCCUAAAGCGUCCGUAGCUGGCCGCGCAAGUCCGUCGGGAAAUCCACCUGCCCAACAGGUGGGCGUCCGGCGGAAACUGCGUGGCUUGGAACCGGAAGGCUCAGAGGGUACGUCCGGGGUAGGAGUGAAAUCCCGUAAUCCCGGACGGACCACCGAUGGCGAAAGCACUCUGAGAAGACGGCUUCGACAGUGAGGGACGAAAGCUAGGGUCUCAAACCGGAUUAGAUACCCGGGUAGUCCUAGCUGUAAACGAUGCUCGUUAGGUGUGACACCCACUACGAGUGGGUGCUGUGCCGCAGGGAAGCCGCUAAACGAGCCGCCUGGGAAGUACGUCCGCAAGGAUGAGACUUAGAGGAAUUGGCGGGGGAGCACUACAACCGGAGGAGCCUGCGGUUUAAUUGGACUCAACGCCGGG
rnacentral:rRNA from 1 species